rnacentral:rRNA from 1 species
UUCCGGUUGAUCCUGCCGGAGGCCAUUGCUAUCGGAGUCCGAUUUAGCCAUGCUAGUCGCACGAGUUUACACUCGUGGCAUAUAGCUCAGUAACACGUGGCCAAACUGCCCUACAGACCGGAAUAACCUCGGGAAACUGAGGCCAAUCCCGGAUACUGCUCUCACGCUGGAACGGCAGAGAGCGGGAAACGCCCCGGCGCUGUAGGAUGUGGCUGCGGUCGAUUAGGUAGACGGUGGGGUAAUGGCCCACCGUGCCUAUAAUCGAUACAGGUCGUGAGAGCGAGAGCCUGGAGACGGUAUCUGAGACAAGAUACCGGGCCCGACGGGGCGCAGCAGGCGCGAGACCUUUACACUGCACGACAGUGCGAUAGGGGGACUCCGAGUGCGAGGGCAUACAGUCCUCGCUUUUGUACACCGUAAGGUGGUGUACGAAUAAGAACUGAGCAAGACCGGUGCCAGCCGCCGCGGUAAUACCGGCAGUUCGAGUGAUGGCCGAUCUUAUUGGGCCUAAAGCGUUCGUAGCUGGCUAGUCAAGUCCGUUGGGAAAUCGACGCGCCUAACGCGUCGGCGUCCAGCGGAAACUGACUUGCUUGGGACCGGAAGACUUGAGGGGUACGUCCGGGGUAGGAGUGAAAUCCUGUAAUCCCGGACGGACCACCGAUGGCGAAAGCACCUCAAGAGCACGGAUCCGACAGUGAGGAACGAAAGCUGGGGUCUCGAACCGGAUUAGAUACCCGGGUAGUC